GGGCAAUUGGUCUAGUGGUAUGAUUCUUCCUUAGCAUGGAAGAGGUCCUGGGUUCAAUUCCCAGAUUGUCCA